AGUUUAAUGGCCAGCGGCCAUUCAACACGGCUCCAGAAUAGAAUUGAGAAGACAGCAAAUAACACAGAAAAAACCAAGUGCGCACGAGUGGGCAGAACGAAUCGACGGAUGGCUGAAUGAAAGCGGAAAUACGAAGGAAAUAGGCAAUAA
ensembl:ncRNA C56G2.18 ncRNA